AAGCCAGAAGAUGCUGCUGAGCAAAUUAACUCAUGGGUCAACAAGUCCACGAGACAAACCAUUACCUCACUCCUUCCAGAUGGAUUAGUUGACCAGAAUACAGGGCUUGUACUUGGCAGCGCACUGUAUUUUAAAGGCAGAUGGCUGGAUAAGACUGAUAUAGGGAAGACUGCUGAACAAAAAUUCUACUGUCUGGAUGGAACACAUGUCCUAGUUCCUUUUGUGGAGUAUGACAGAACUCGUCUUUUUGCUGUGCAUGAAGGAUUCAAAGUUAUUAAGCUUCCUUACAAGCAAGGGAGUAAUGAACGGAAGUUUUCCAUGUACAUUUUCCUCCCAGAUGCUCAUGAUGGCCUGUUUGAAUUAACCAAGAAGAUUUUCUCUGAACCGGCAUUCUUAGAACAACAUUUACCGACAGAGAAGCACCAUGUGGGUAUUGGGGUGCCCAAAUUCACGAUAUCUUUUCAGAUCGACAUGAAGGAUUUUCUGAAAGAUAUGACACUUGAAUUGCCAUUCCGACGAGAUGCAGAUUUCAAAGAUAUGGUAAAGGAAGGUGACUCAAAGGAGCCGUUGUUUCUAUCUGAUGUACUUCAUAAAGUGAUUUUGGAAGUAAACGAUGAUGAAAUUGAAGAAACUUCUGUGGAGAAAAGCAUAGGCAAGCCUUUACUAACAGAGCACUUCACAGCCGACCACCCUUUCUUCUUUCUCAUUCGGGAGGAAGUAUCUGCUACGGUUAUCUUCAUGGGGCAUGUGCUUGAUCCUUCAUCACAGUACUAA
rnacentral:rRNA from 1 species